rnacentral:misc_RNA from 1 species
CUGUUACACAAUGUGAAAAAUAUUCCAACUUUUGUUAUAAGACACACCGAAAGCCAACCAACCAAACUUCUUAAAACUUUCGCACAAAGUAUCUACCCUAAAAUUCCUGGCAAGCGAACCAACAAUUUACAUGCAAAAUCAUCUGAAUUUUCUUUCGUGGUAUUCCCCGCAACAAUUCGAAUUUCCCUAAAAAUUACCAACGUAGUCGUUCGAGAAAUUCGUCUAUUUACAUUCAGCUUAUAGACGAUGGCGUAGAAAAUACACUUGUUCCCGACAUACUGUUCCAACCUUUCCGUAAAGCCCGUUACAAGCAUCGAUUGGCAACUGUCGAGAGACCAAGAAACUUCGUUCGUCGCGUCGUCGAAAAACUUGGAAAGAAGAUACAAGAGUAUGGAUUACGAAAAGAAUAUCAAACAGACAUUUGACCGUGAGCUGAAUAUUAAUAUCAACACUUUGACCAUUCAAGUUUGAUCAGAUAAAAGCACGUCCUAUUUAGUUUCAUAUUAAAACAUGUUCUUACAGUUUUUAGAAAUAUAUUGAAUCUUUUAUAAUAAUAAAUACAUAACAGUAUGUUAUAAAAAUUAACAGUGGAUUGACUUACACAAUCAUGA